AUUGAACGCUGGCGGCAGGCUUAACACAUGCAAGUCGAGCGAGCGGCGGACGGGUGAGUAAUGUAUGGGGAAUGCGCGAUAGAGGGGGAUAACUACUGGAAAAGGUGGCUAAUAACGCAUACACUCGGAUAACCCAUAUGGGAUUAGCUAGUAGGUGGGGUAAUGGAUAACCUAGGCGACGAUCCCUCUCUGGUCUGAGAGGAUGAGCAGCCGCACCACGACUGGGACACUGCCCAGCCUCCUACGGAGGCAGUGGUGGGUACUAUUGCACAAUGGGCGCAAGCCUGAUGCAUCAAUGCCGCUUGUAUGAAGAAGGCCUUGGGGUUGUAAAGAACUUUCAGCGAGGAGGCGUUACCCGCAGAAGAAGCACCGGCUAACUCCGUGCCAGCAGCCGCGGUAAUAC
rnacentral:rRNA from 1 species